rnacentral:tRNA from 2 species
GUCGGGAUAGCUCAGUCGGUAGAGCAGAGG